rnacentral:rRNA from 1 species
CGGCAACAGCUCAAAUUUGAAAUCUGGCCCUCGGGUCCGAAUUGUAAUUUGUAGAGGAUGCUUUUGGUGAGGUACCUUCCGAGUUCCCUGGAACGGGACGCCAUAGAGGGUGAGAAUCCCGUC